GUUUUGCUGCCCACAUUGUUCACAGUUGUCAACAGUAUUGAACAAUUUUGUUACACGCGAUUCAGGUUCAAUAUUGUUGACAAGUGUGAACAACGUGGGCAGCAAAAU